UACGGGGGGAGCAAGCGUUGUUCGGAUUUACUGGGCGUAAAGGGCGCGUAGGCGGCGCAACAAGUCACUUGUGAAAUCUCCGGGCUUAACCCGGAGCGGCCAAGUGAUACUGUCGUGCUAGAGUGCGGAAGGGGCUACUGGAAUUCUCGGUGUAGCGGUGAAAUGCGUAGAUAUCGAGAGGAACACCUGCGGCGAAGGCGGGUAGCUGGGCCGACACUGACGCUGAGGCGCGAAAGCUAGGGUAGCAAACAGG
rnacentral:rRNA from 1 species